AAGCCUAUCUCAUUUUUUUUUUGAUGAAAUUUCAACCCUAUCUCACGAUGGAUGGUGUCAGUUGAUUCGGAUUUCCCGACUCAUUAUUUACUCAUUCUGCAAGCUAUAUCAGUCUCCUCUCCAGUCUUUAGUCUUUACGGGAGCUCCGUAAAGUCUCUUCUUUUGUAACAAUUGAAAGAGGAGAACAUGAGAGAGAGAGAGAGAGAGAGAGAGAGAGAGAGAGAGAGAGAGAGAGAGAGAGAGAGAGAGGUCAUAUCUAAUCUAAGCUCGUGUUUCUGAUCUACCUUAUUGCUUAUUAAUCAUCUAAUGAAAGCAAUGAUGAUUGGCCUAACUAAUCUUCAGCUCUCCAGGUAUAUUAACUGUGUGAGUGUCCCUAAAUCUAUCAUGUCUACUUCUUUCCUCUACUUGUGGGUUUAAUGUUUUUUCAUCAGCUUCUCUCUUCAAUUCAACUUGAUUGGUGCAACUCAAUGUUAAGAAGUCAGGCCUACUUGGUUUUAAUUGUUCCUUCAACCCUGUUCUUAUGGGGUGAUUCAACAGGUUUGAUUUUUCUCUCUAGUGUACUCCAAAUUAUUUAACUUCAAUGAAUUGGUUUUUUUACGGUUUUAUUAGUGAUUUAUUGGAAGUGCCUUCAUCGUCUACUUCUUUGUUUGGAGCAGGCCUUGAUAUAUGCAAGAACUAUUCUCCUACGGUGUAUGAUUAACGCUUGGAAUUCAAUCAUUGUGAAAACACUUAUUGUAAAAAGAGAGAGAUUAAAUAGAUUCCGUGUGUGCAUCAGGACUCUCGUACAAGACCUGAUCCAAACUCUCUACUUCUUUUAUAGAUAAUCAAGUGGAUCAGAUCAUUUUAAUCAAGAAGACGAUGCAUGUGAUCAUCCUUCUUCAGCCAAAUAUGUCAUAACUUAGUAAUCCUACAUAAAAACAAAUCUCUAGUAGGAAGAAAUCCCUAAAUUAAGGAGUGGGGAGAGGGUGUGGAGAUGAGAAGAGAUUACUGGUCAUAAGGAAGCUAGCGUUGUAUGUAGAUUGUAGCUGAGCAUUGGACACGUAUUCACUGCAUCAUCACAUAAUAUUCAUCCACUGAGAUUGUGGAAACUAGCUACUCUUUUAAUAUUAUAUAUGAAAAAAUGUUCUCAAUCUGAGAAUGUGAUCCUUGUGACAGUUCUUCGACCAAUGAAAUUGCAUUUUUGUA